rfam:Gossypium raimondii Chr01_contig_613, whole genome shotgun sequence.
AACCCAUGCUGAGGGCACCUUCUCAAUAAAUCCUUGUAUCUCUCCCAUGCAACAUAUAAGGUUUCUAAGUCGAUCUGAAUAAAGGAAGAGAUAUCAUUCCUCAACUU